AGCUUUGCGCAGUGGCAGUAUCGUAGCCAAUGAGGUUUAUCCGAGACGCGAUUAUUGCUAAUUAAAUUUCAUAACACCAAUACUUUUUUCUACUUGCUUUAAUAGAUGUAAGGGAAAUUUCAUAAAUAAUGAUUUUUUU